UAGUAAAGAAUCCAUCAAAGCAGUACGAUCAUAAAAAGGACAUGAAAAGAAUAUAUGAUUAAUAUCCGCCUCCUCGGCACCACAGUCACAAUUGGGAUCGUUAAUAAAUUUAAAUCGAGCAAGGUCAGAAGGAGCAGAUGUAUGGCCCAAUCUCAUGCGUGUUAAACAUGAUAUUUCACGUCUUUUAAAGUUUUUAUUGUAAAACCACGGCUUUACAGGGAUGUCACUUUGAAUCUUAAGGUAAUAACUUCCGGAUUCCAGGCUGCUCCAAAACCAAAAGAACUCCCAGGCUAACCUGAGAUAUCUUUUGGGGAGCAACAGAAGGUCAUGACAAUAGUUUUUAUAUGGAAAUAUAUCACCAGAAGCAACAGCAUCUACCGCCAGACGAUCAGCCUUCUCAUUUCCGGGAAUUCCACAAUGACUUGGCACCCAUACAAAGUUUACACUUCUGAACAUUCAGAAUCCCACCAUGGAGGGCUGGGAAUAUUGAAUUUAGAGGACUUCUUACGAGGAAAUACUUCAUCAGCUAUAUUAAUUAUAAACUUAGCAAAAGCAUCAGAAGUUUUAAACAAAUUUUCACGAGAUACAUCGGGUAAUUCUCCCAACCUCUCAUCCAUAUGUUUGCGAAACUUAUCCCAAUCUGCAUUUUGAAGUUUAUAUGCUAAAAGUGGAGAUCUUUUAUGUAAUGGUCUGUUUUUAAUAGGAAAAGAAAUGAGAAUUGGAAAAUGAUCACUGCCAUAGGAAAGUGGAAGUACCUCCCACAGUAAGGAGUGUGAUAUGGAAGAGCUACAAAUUGAUAAAUCUAAUGCACUAGGAUUCUCAUUGGGAGCAGACCGACGCGUAGGAACACCAGAAUUCAAUAUACAUAAAUUAUAAUAAUCAA